AUCUCCGCCUAGAGCCACACACAUACGCGGAGCACCCACGUGGGCCAGGCUUUGUUUUGGGGCUGGCGGCACCAAGAUGCAGAUGCUGUGGCUCAAAGGAUUAAUUAAUUUGCUUAAGAUAAUGCAACAUGAGAAAAGCAGAUCAGGACGGAAUUCCAGAACAAGGAUUUUGCUUGAAAUAACAUCACUACUAAUUGUCUCUCUGCACCUCCUGGCUCAUUUCUCUACUCCCACACCUUCCCUGCUGACCCUAGUCAAGGAGCUGUGAACAUACAAAUAGUGCCUGAUACACUAGGGCCUCGGCAUUGGCCAUGGGAGUGAGGGAGAAA
rnacentral:lncRNA from 10 species